GCCCAUGUAGCUCAAUGGUUAGAGCGUGGGACUUUUACAUUCAUUAGAAGUGGAAAUCCCAAGGCUGUGAGUUCGAGUCUCAUCAUGGGCG